AGAAUCAACGCUGGCGGCGUGCCUAACACAUGCAAGUCGCACGAGAAAGGGACUUCGGUCCUGAGUAAAGUGGCGCACGGGCGAGUAACACGUGAAUAAUCUACCUCCGAGUGGGGAAUAACUGAGAGAAAUCUUAGCUAAUACCGCAUAACACUUACGAGUCAAAGCAGCAAUGCGCUUGGAGAGGAGUUCGCGGCAGAUUAGUUAGUUGGCGGGGUAAUGGCCCACCAAGACGAUGAUCUGUA
rnacentral:rRNA from 1 species